rnacentral:rRNA from 1 species
GACGAACGCUGGCGGCGUGCUUAACACAUGCAAGUCGAGCGGUAAGGCCCUUUCGGGGUACGACGAGCGGCGAACGGGUAGGAGUAACAACGUGGGUGGACCUCGCCCUCCAGCUCUGGGAGUAAGACCCGGGAAACCGUAGGUCGUAAUACUGGAUAUGACUCCAUGACGCAUGUUGUGGGGUGGAAAGCCUUGUGCGGCUGAGGAU